rnacentral:misc_RNA from 1 species
GAAAUGCGAUAAGUAGUGUGAAUUGCAGAAUUCAGUGAAUCAUCGAAUCUUUGAACGCACAUUGCGCCCCUCGGUAUUCCGUGGGGCAUGCCUGUUCGAGCGUCAUUUCAACCAUCAAGCCCCGGGCUUGUGUUGGGGACCUGCGGCUGCCGCAGGCCCUGAAAAGCAGUGGCGGGCUCGCUGUCACACCGAGCGUAGUAGCAUACAUCUCGCUCUGGGCGUGCUGCGGGUUCCGGCCGUUAAACCACCUUCGUAACCCAAGGUUGACCUCGGAUCAGGUAGGAACACCCGCUGAACUUGAGC